UUUAGGUUUUAUUGAAUUUUUUUUAAUAAAUAUCUAAGAAGUAAUUUAGUCAAAUCUAAAAGUGAUAUUUACAUAUGUGACAAAAGUAAUUUAAUACACAUAUAUAUUUUUAUCAGAAUAUAAUUAUGUGAGAUCUUAUUAAAAAUAUUUUAUUGCAACGAAUACAACAAUGCAAUCGGAUCAUAAAUUGGAUAAGUAUUGUAAGAGAAAAUUCUAUAAGUUGAGAAAAAAAAGACAUGCAUGACCUGUAGCAAAAUAGUUCUUCAGCUUGUCUGUAGACAUACAGUAGUAGUUCUCUCACAUAUGGUCGGCGUCGCUUCUUAAUCUAGUGUAGUGUGAUAGGUCAAAGACGAGAUGCCUCCCGAUUUAGAUUUUGCGUUUACGUAACAUAUGGUUGCAGAAAAUUCACUUGGUAUAGGACCAGUUAACAAUUGCACUCAUUUUUUUCCAUUAUUGUACCACCCAUAAAUUAAACUUAAGGAAACACAAAGGUGUUCGUUGAAUUGUUAUUCUCUUCCCCUUUUUACGACCUAAAUCAACCUAACGCUCUUAAUUCGGACAUGAGCUCUGCCAGCUACCUCAUGUGCUAGAGCUCUGCAAUUCAGCCCUAAGCCUAAGCCAGAAAGAUCAUUUUGGUUUUUAAGCAUAGUAAGUUAGUAACACAAAAGUCACACAUACAAGUCGACUUCCUUUAAACAGGAAGCAAUAAGCAAACUUAACAUUUCGCAUACUGCAUGCUAAUUUCUUUUAGUAAGACACAAGGAAAAAGAUGGAUCGAAUCCUUUCAGAUCUUCUACGUAGCAACGUGAAAAUCACAAGGCAAUAUUCAUACCCAGGCAAACAAUCAGAAGACAAAGCAACCUCAAAAGAAACUGACGAUUGCUUUACUUCCAGGCUACAGCUGACGAAAAUUUCCGUCCUGAUUGCUACUGGUGGAGAAGGCACCGAUCUGAUGGUGAUUGUGCUUUCAAUUCUCUUCGCCUGCGCAAAAUCCAAGGUGAUUUUCAGGGGGACUUUUUGGGCAAGACAAUGGUCUUUGCUACUUAAGGAAGAAGAUGGCCAAAAAGUGAGAGAAGGUUGCUUGAUUCUAGAGAAGAGAGUUUCUGGCUUUUUCGCAAUGAAGGGAUGGAACUUAAGGAAAAGAUUGGGAGAUUAAUGCUCUCUGGUUUUCUUGUGUGGUAUGGUUGAAACUUUGUAUUAACUUUUUAAGAAUUUCUGUUGCUAGAGCCUAAGUACUCGGGUCUAGUUGCUUGUGAUGGUGUUAAACCUUGUGUAAGGGUGUGAGUUUAUGUACUCUUGUAAGUUUCGUUGGGGCUGUGUACAUCCUUUUUUGGGUGUAGAGGCCGGUUUAAUCCAUUAUCUAAAAAAAUGUAAAGGAUGCACUAUAUGGCACUCUGAAGUAAGGUUUCCUGAGUAUGGUCUUUUGGUGAACAAAAGAUGGGAGAUGGAUUUUUAUC